rnacentral:rRNA from 1 species
UUUAUUGGAGAGUUUGAUCCUGGCUCAGGAUGAACGCUGGCGGCGUGCCUAAUACAUGCAAGUCGAGCGAAUGGAUUGAGAGCUUGCUCUCAAGAAGUUAGCGGCGGACGGGUGAGUAACACGUGGGUAACCUGCCCAUAAGACUGGGAUAACUCCGGGAAACCGGGGCUAAUACCGGAUAACAUUUUGAACUGCAUGGUUCGAAAUUGAAAGGCGGCUUCGGCUGUCACUUAUGGAUGGACCCGCGUCGCAUUAGCUAGUUGGUGAGGUAACGGCUCACCAAGGCAACGAUGCGUAGCCGACCUGAGAGGGUGAUCGGCCACACUGGGACUGAGACACGGCCCAGACUCCUACGGGAGGCAGCAGUAGGGAAUCUUCCGCAAUGGACGAAAGUCUGACGGAGCAACGCCGCGUGAGUGAU